rnacentral:rRNA from 1 species
GCUCAGGAUGAACGCUAGCUACAGGCUUAACACAUGCAAGUCGAGGGGUAGCAGGGUAGCAAUGCCGCUGACGACCGGCGCACGGGUGAGUAACACGUAUCCAACCUUCCCAUAACUCGGGGAUAGCCUUUCGAAAGAAAGAUUAAUACCCGAUAGUACUUAUAUAAGGCAUCUUAAAUAAGUUAAAGAUUUAUUGGUUAUGGAUGGGGAUGCGUUCCAUUAGAUAGUUGGUGAGGUAACGGCUCACCAAGUCUUCGAUGGAUAGGGGUUCUGAGAGGAAGGUCCCCCACAUUGGUACUGAGACACGGACCAAACUCCUACGGGAGGCAGCAGUGAGGAAUAUUGGUCAAUGGGC